CAAGGAGACAAUCUUUUUUUUUCUUUGGGGCGGAACCAAAAUUAUGGAAGUUUGGUUCCGCCCGGAAGUGUUUCCGCCCGGACCGGAAAAAACGAACACCGGACUUCCGGUAAGCGCCGCGGGCGGGAAAAUCGCCGAAUUGGAUGCACCUGGGCCUAGUUAUGAAGAGCGGUUGGUGAUUGGAGGACACGCUAAACAGGGCAGUACUUAAGACAAAGUUUAAUCACAGUUUGGUGUUGUUGUUUGGUGUGUUGAAGCGCUGUGUUGUGCCCGUUUGGCGUGUUGCUGGUGGUUGUCUGGACUCUCUCUCCCACAGGCUGAAGUUGUAUGGUGGCAAAGAUAUUCGGGGACCUGAAAGGGAAUCGGAAAGGAAUACAUGUUAAACGGAGACGAAAUGAAACGGAACUGAGACGGGCCUCGAUGUGAGUACUCAGAUUAUGUUGGAAACGCAUUGCUAUUAAUCUGCCUUUGUGAUAGAUACCUCCAGGAGAAGGAGGGCGGCCCUACCCCUAAACUAGCGCGGUGGGUGAGCCGAAGGAAUUCAUACUGAAGCAGUCACAACGACGAUACUACCAACUAGGCCGUAUAUUUCAUCGCCAGAUCCAACCUAAGCGAAGUGGAGGAAGACGGGUGUCCUUUGUGUUCACUAGAGUGUGGUGGACAAACCCCCGCCUUCAUACACGUCGUCGAGGGAGGACGAAGAGGCUGUCGGCCCUUAUCUACUUCAGUAUAGCAUAUGUUGUGAGUGUGCUCCAGGUCUAAGGAAAUAGUACGGUGACUCGGAACGAUUUCUCCCCCGUCUAGACAUCGGGUGAAAUUGGAGAGCGGCGGCGAAGAACAGAAGGACUAGCAGAUGUGUGAGUACGAUCAGGGGCUGUCAUUGUGGAUGUGUUCAACUGUAUAGAAAUUGCUGUUGCAGAGUGAGAGGUGUAGGAACUUCACCGUCCCGAGGUCUCUACAAAGGGGCGCCCCUGUCCAGUGUUCGAUCACCUAACGGUAGCGAGGAGAGGGCAGCGCUCGGCCCGGUGAGACGGUGUGACGUCCACCCCCCCUGUAACCAUCGAGCCAGUCGAGAGGGUUCGCCCCUGACGCCACGUAGGAACUGCUUGUCCCAUCAGACACAUCGGAAACAUUGACGUAAGCCUGCCACAUUUGCUAGAAGUCAUAUAUACUAACCUCUUUGAGCCCGUUCAUCGACAGAUACGGAGAACACAUUGUCUCCGAUCGACACGGAGUGAGCGCCACGAGUGAAACUUGUACCUACGGUACGCUGUGUCCCGCAGAAGAGGUGAGAGCCAUACGAAUCGAAUUAACUGCACCUUUGUGUCCUAGUCACCACCUGUGGAAAAGGAAAGAGAGAGAGUGAACAACACGAGAAGAAACGAGUGAAACUUGUACUUACGGUACGCUGUGUCCCGCAGAAGAGGUGAGAGCCAUACGAAUCGAAUUAACUGCACCUUUGUGUCCUAGUCACCACCUGUGGAGAAGGAAAGAGAGAGAGUGAACAACACGAGAAGAAACGAGUGAAACUUGUACUUACGGUACGCUGUGUCCAGCAGAAGAGGUGAGAGCCAUACGAAUCGAAUUCACUGCACCUUUGUGUCCUAGUCAUCACCUGUGGAGAAAUAGAGAGGGAAAGUGAGCGGCACGUCCCGAACUGUGCGAGAACAAGGGAGAAGGCUCCACGAAUUAAGCUAGGUGCUUAAACAGGACGUUACUUCUGACACUCACACUGUUUUGAUUUCUGCCUCCAGGAAGAAGAAGGAGGGCGCCACGGAUAGUAGAGACCAGGCAGGAGCCUGAGUCUCACAUCCCAGCCCUCAGGGCUUUGGACCCCCCGUUGCCCCCCUUCCUCCUUGUCACCCUCUUGGCCGUGGCCUACCUGGAGGGCAGAGCCAGAUACUAGUUUUAAUUUCCCUUCCCCAUUUCCCCACUACAUUUUAAAUAUUUAAACAAAUAAAUAAAGAUUGUUUUUAUACUUAC